CCAUGUGUAGCGGUGAAAUGCGCAGAGAUAUGGAGGAACACCAGUGGCGAAGGCGACUUUCUGGUCUGUAACUGACGCUGAUGUGCGAAAGCGUGGGGAUCAAACAGGAUUAGAUACCCUGGUAGUCCACGCCGUAAACGAUGAGUGCUAAGUGUUAGGGGGUUUCCGCCCCUUAGUGCUGCAGCUAACGCAUUAAGCACUCCGCCUGGGGAGUACGACCGCAAGGUUGAAACUCAAAGGAAUUGACGGGGACCCGCACAAGCGGUGGAGCAUGUGGUUUAAUUGGAAGCAACGCGAAGAACCUUACCAAAUCUUGACAUCCUUUGACCGCUCUAGAGAUAGAGUCUUCCCCUUCGGGGGACAAAGUGACAGGUGGUGCAUGGUUGUCGUCAGCUCGUGUCGUGAGAUGUUGGGUUAAGUCCCGCAACGAGCGCAACCCUUAAGCUUAGUUGCCAUCAUUAAGUUGGGCACUCUAAGUUGACUGCCGGUGACAAACCGGAGGAAGGUGGGGAUGACGUCAAAUCAUCAUGCCCCUUAUGAUUUGGGCUACACACGUGCUACAAUGGACAAUACAAAGGGCAGCUAAACCGCGAGGUCAAGCAAAUCCCAUAAAGUUGUUCUCAGUUCGGAUUGUAGUCUGCAACUCGACUACAUGAAGCUGGAAUCGCUAGUAAUCGUAGAUCAGCAUGCUACGGUGAAUACGUUCCCGGGUCUUGUACACACCGCCCGUCACACCACGAGAGUUUGUAACACCCGAAGCCGGUGGAGUAACCAUUUAUGGAGCUAGCCGUCGAAGGUGGGACAAA
rnacentral:rRNA from 1 species